UUUAAAUUGGGCGCCAUUAUGUUACGAACUGCUUUUUGGAUGGGCAGUGCCGCUAGCUCAGCGAUCUCUUUGGGCCAGGUUCUCCCCAAUGCCCGCAGUCCGUCAACAUAAACAAACAACAUCGAUAACGGUCGUCUCACAACACUAAACUCUCUGCGAUCUCUAACAAAAAUGUAAACAAACCAAAACAUAAACAUUCAAAUACAAGGCGGCGGAAAUUUGGAUCUUUGGUGGCCAUCGGUGUUCUUGGCCACUGCGUACCCACCCAACCUAGGAUGCCUGAAAAAGGUCUAGCAAUUCAUCAUCAUUACAAACUGGCUUUAAUUAUUCAGGCCGCAGGAUCGCUAAUCGACCGCCGUCUUAAAAUUUAGCGGUCAAAGCUAAUUGUUAAGAAAAGGACCGGAAAUGUUCUGCCACCCUUAUAUCGGCAGAAUUCUUUUGUUAACGCAGCUUAAAAUUAGGGUCACCUAAUCCUGAAGAGCUCCAAGGGAAAAGGAGGGACGCCGAAAGGUAUGGGAGAUUUACACACUCGAUUCCUUCAUCCUAAUUAAUUGCGACCCUUUUAUUUUAGCAACCGUCGAUCAAGGGUGAAUCUUUGGAAGGACGCCCAAUAGACUUAACAAUAUAAGGUAUUUGAAUUCUUAAAAACUACACAUUAUAUUAAUUGAUUUUCCUCAAUUUCAGGAAGUGGUGGGUUUGGGCUCGGCCCACCAGGAAAUCGCACCACCAGGAACUCGGAGGCUUAUGGAGUUUGGCUGGCCAACCUCGUGGUACCAACCGCUCGCGAGGAAAACUGGCCACUAUCGGAGGCACCACGACACGGAACGGACUCACCGGAGAUCUGGAGUCCGAGAAUGGUGACUGGGUCGCUGAUGAUUCCCUCACUCUUGCGUAAGCCGACUUCGUUUCCUCCAAAAAAAUUAUUUGUACGAAAACGGCGUAUCUUCCAAAAUUGAUUAUCUCCAACCAGGGAAAAUGUGGAUCUCCUCCAAAAUAAAUUAUACUGAGGCUCCUCCAAAAUGAACGUGGUACUCGCAAUAAUAUGUAGCUCCUCCAAAAAUAUGGUGUUCUUUGAACAAUGUGGUUUCUCCAGAAAUAUUUAUUGGGUUUCUUCAAAAAGAACGUGUUGCUCAAGAAAAAAUGAGGCUUCUCCAGAAUAAGGCAAUCUUCAAAACAGGUUAUAUCGUCUUCACGAAAAAUAUGCAUUCCUCAAGAAAAAGAAUCCCGGAGCCCUUUAUUAUGGGACCCCGGGUUCCCUAAACAAAAAUAAACAUUUUAUUUUUACUAAAGAAAAUUACAAAAAAAAACUAACUCACUUUUCACAAAAGUUUCACAAUG